rnacentral:lncRNA from 1 species
AGCUCCUCCCAGCUGCCGCCGCUCCUCCGCGUCCACACCAAAGCUGCCGCCGGGUCCUGCUUCUUCCCCACCGCCGCGGCCGUCCUCCUCGCUCGAUCCUCCUCCUCCCCGCUGCCGCCGCUCCGCCGCAUCCUCCCCGGAGCUCCGCCGGAUCCUGCUUCUCUCACUCGGAGCCGCCGCCGGAGCCGACCUCGGCCCCUUCCGCCGCCACCGAUACCGCCGUGCACUCCACUUGCCGCAUCCUCGCCGGAGCUCCGCCGGAUCCUGCUUCUCUCGGUGAAAUCAUUGCUGCUCGCCCAUCGCAUCCACCCGCUCCCAUCGGUUUCUUUCUUCCGCGGCAGAUCAAUCCCCUCCUUACUCACUGCCGCAGAUCAAUCCCCUUCGCACCCUCGCCCCUCACCAAUCACCGCCGCAAUCUCCUCCGUCCCCAAGGCCGCCGUCUCCACCAUGCAAUCCCACUGUCUACUCUCCACCUUGCCGCCGGCGCCGCCUACCCCUUCCUCAUUCGCGCCUCAAGUCAGCCGGAAACGGAGCCAGGGUCGCCCACUCCCCCGGCUGGAGCUCCUUCCUCACAGCCCGCCGCAAUCCCCCCUGUCUCCUCUCCACCUCGCCGCCGGUGCCGCCUACCCCUGCCUCAUUUGUGCCUCAUGUCGGCCGGAAACGGAACCAGGGUGGUCCAUUCCCCAGUCCCCAGGCUGGAGUUGUCUCCUCGCAGCCCGUCGCUUCAGGCUUCAAGUGAAAAAUCAGAUCAACAAUCAUGCUAUUUGUCUUUAUUAUCUCCCGGCAAACGGCAUCUAAAUUCUCUAGCACAAACUGAUGUUUGUACUGGUGAUUUAUUAGUUUAAAUUUGAGGGAAUGAAUCAUUCGGAUUGUCUCUUGUACUGAAUGUGCUAUGGAUUAACUGAGGAUUCUGUCAGAUCGCAUAUUAACACUCUUCAUUGAGUAGCCAAAUAUCUCAAAUCAGUGUUCCAAUCAGUAGUUAUAUUUAAUAGACACUUCAAUCAGUCUCUACUAAAUGCAAGGAUAUCAAGCAUGUUUAUGGGAUAUGCUACAUUACUGCUCUGGGCUGAGUACAACAUUCCUAAGGAUCAUGUUACGGACUAGCUCUUUGAUUUUCUCAUGACUAUUUGGGUUCAGGGAAUCUAUUUGGGUUUGCUAAAAAAAAUGCAGUGCUCAAGCAAAUAUAUUUCUUCACAGCGCAGCUCCCGCAACAGUCCCACAAAGAUAUUCAGGUUGUACCUGGGGCCUGGGUGCAGAGAAGGAGAGGGCCGGCUCUAGGGCGUCGUUGGUUGGGAUCAAGUGCACAGGAGGAGGCUGGCAUGAAGGAGGCCUGGGUGCCUCAAACAAGGCCAUGAUAUGGUGAAUCCUAACAUUGAGGCAAACAUGCAAUGAGACACUUAGACGGUGACCAUUACAUGGUGAGUUUUCCCCUUCCUUUG